CACUAGAGACGGUUAGGAGCAGUCACUAGAGACGGUUAGGAGCAGUCACUAGAGACGGUUAGGAGCAGUCACUAGAGACGGUUAGGAGCAGUCACUAGAGACGGUUAGGAGCAGUCACUAGAGACGGUUAGGAGCAGUCACUAGCAACGGUUUGGAGCAGGCAUUAGCAGAAUCUGUGAAGUACUUGUUUCUCCACAGAGAGAAAAUCUAUAUUUUUAUUAACGUUGCUCUUGAAAAGAAGAGGUAGUCGUUAGCUUCACAUACUGGGAUGGUUUGUGACACAGAUGGGAGAAAGAGGCUGUUGGAAGCAAAAUAUUUAUUUGGUAUUUUGCAAUCGAGAACGGCAGCUAGAAAGGCCUACCUCUGUCAGGCUGUGUGCUGUUCCACCCAGCAUAACACGCACGCGUGCACACACACACACACACACGCGCACGCACACACACACACACACACACACACAUACGCACACACAUACGCACACACACACACACAUACGCACACACAUACGCACACACAUACGCACACACACACACACACACACACACACACACACACACACACAUACGCACACACACACUCUAAAGGGUGAACCAGCUCAGGGCUAAAACAAAUCUGAAACGCCUGGGGGUUCCCAACCUAUAGACUAUAGAACCACUGACUGACAACAGGACAGACUAUAGAACCACUGACUGACAACAGGACAGACUAUAGAACCACUGACUGACAACAGGACAGACUAUAGAACCACAAGCUAUACCACAUAGCUAUGUGGACCAGUCAUAGUCAGUACAUUCAUCAGAUAGCUAGGUGGACCAGUCACAGUUAGUACAUUCAUCUCCAGAUGGGUAGGUGGACCAGUCAUAGUCAGUACAUUCAUCUCCAGAUAGCUAGGUGGGACAACCACAUAUCACAGUCAGCACAUUUUGCCUCAAAGACACAGAGUAGUCACCUACAACCCACAGACAG
ensembl:lncRNA